UCCCUAGUGGCUCAGUUGGUAAGGAAUUUGCCUGCAGUGCAGGAGACCCAGGUUUGAUCCCUGGGUAGGGAA
rnacentral:tRNA from 1 species